rnacentral:rRNA from 1 species
AGUGAACGCUGGCGGUAGGCCUAACACAUGCAAGUCGAACGGCAGCACAGGAGAGCUUGCUCUCUGGGUGGCGAGUGGCGGACGGGUGAGGAAUACAUCGGAAUCUACUCUGUCGUGGGGGAUAACGUAGGGAAACUUACGCUAAUACCGCAUACGACCUACGGGUGAAAGCAGGGGACCUUCGGGCCUUGCGCGAUUGAAUGAGCCGAUGUCGGAUUAGGUAGUUGGCGGGGUAAAGGCCCACCAAGGCGACGAUCCGUAGCUGGUCAGAGAGGUGGAUCAGCCACACUGGAACUUAGACACGGUCCAGACUCCUACGGGAGGCAGCAGUGGGGAAUAUUGGACAAUGGGCGCAAGCCUGAUCCAGCCAUACCGCGUGGGUGAAGAAGGCCUUCGGGUUGUAAAGCCCUUUUGUUGGGAAAGAAAUCCAGCUGGCUAAUACCCGGUUGGGAUGACGGUACCCAAAGAAUAAGCACCGGCUAACUUCGUGCCAGCCGCCGCCGUAA